rnacentral:rRNA from 1 species
UAGGGAAUCUUCGGCAAUGGGGGCAACCCUGACCGAGCAACGCCGCGUGAGUGAAGAAGGUUUUCGGAUCGUAAAGCUCUGUUGUAAGAGAAGAACGAGUGUGAGAGUGGAAAGUUCACACUGUGACGGUAACUUACCAGAAAGGGACGGCUAACUACGUGCCAGCAGCCGCGGUAAUACGUAGGUCCCGAGCGUUAUCCGGAUUUAUUGGGCGUAAAGCGAGCGCAGGCGGUUAGAUAAGUCUGAAGUUAAAGGCUGUGGCUUAACCAUAGUACGCUUUGGAAACUGUUUAACUUGAGUGCAGAAGGGGAGAGUGGAAUUCCAUGUGUAGCGGUGAAAUGCGUAGAUAUAUGGGGGAACACCGGUGGCGAAAGCGGCUCUCUGGUCUGUAACUGACGCUGAGGCUCGAAAGCGUGAGGAGCAAACAGGAUUAGAUACCCUGGUAGUCCACGCCGUANNGAUGAGUGCUAGGUGUUGGGUCCUUUCCGGGACUCAGUGCCGCAGCUAACGCAUUAAGCACUCCGCCUGGGGAGUACGACCGCAAGGUUG